UACGAAGGGUGCAAGCGUUACUCGGAAUUACUGGGCGUAAAGCGUGCGUAGGUGGUUCGUUAAGUCUGAUGUGAAAGCCCUGGGCUCAACCUGGGAAUGGCAUUGGAAACUGGCGACCUAGAGUGCGGUAGAGGGUAGUGGAAUUCCCGGUGUAGCAGUGAAAUGCGUAGAGAUCGGGAGGAACAUCUGUGGCGAAGGCGACUGCCUGGACCAGAACUGACACUGAGGCACGAAAGCGUGGGGAGCAAGCAGG
rnacentral:rRNA from 1 species